GCUCCUCCUAGUAUGGUGGUUAUGACACUCGACUUAUAAUCGAGUGGGCUCGGGUUCUCGAAUCCCGAAUAAGACA
rnacentral:tRNA from 1 species